rnacentral:rRNA from 1 species
AUUGAACGCUGGCGGCAGGCCUAACACAUGCAAGUCGAACGGUAACAGGAAGCAGCUUGCUGCUUCGCUGACGAGUGGCGGACGGGUGAGUAAUGUCUGGGAAGCUGCCUGAUGGAGGGGGAUAACUACUGGAAACGGUAGCUAAUACCGCAUAAUGUCGCAAGACCAAAGAGGGGGACCUUCGGGCCUCUUGCCAUCGGAUGUGCCCAGAUGGGAUUAGCUUGUUGGUGGGGUAACGGCUCACCAAGGCGACGAUCCCUAGCUGGUCUGAGAGGAUGACCCGCCACACUGGGACUGAGACACGGUCCAGACUCCUACGGGAGGCAGCAGUGGGGAAUAUUGCACAAUGGGCGCAAGCCUGAUGCAGCCAUGCCGCGUGUAUGAAGAAGGCCUUCGGGUUGUAAAGUACUUUCAGCGGGGAGGAAGGGAGUAAAGUUAAUACCUUUGCUCAUUGACGUUACCCGCAGAAGAAGCACCGGCUAACUCCGUG